ACUAGUAACGGCCGCCAGUGUGCUGGAAUUCGCCCUUGGAUUAGGCAUGCAAGUCGAACGAGAACGGUUCCUUCGGGAGCCUAUUAAAGUGGCGAAAGGGUGAGUAAUGCAUAGGCAACCUACCUCUGAGAUUGGAAUAACUUCGCGAAAGUGUCGCUAAUUCUGAAUAAUACUACGAGUCGCAUGGCUUGUUUUUAAAGAUUGUUCUGCUUUCGCUCAGAGAGGGGCCUAUGUCCUAUUAGCUUGUUGGUAGAGUAACGGCCUACCAAGGCUUCGAUGGGUAGCCGGCCUGAGAGGGCGAUCGGCCACACUGGGACUGAGACACUGCCCAGACUCCUACGGGAGGCUGCAGUCGAGAAUCUUCCGCAAUGCGCGCAAGCGUGACGGAGCGACGCCGCGUGAGGGAUGAAGGCCUUCGGGUUGUAAACCUCUGUCACCAGGGAAGAAAUCCAUGUGGUUAAUAGCUGUCAUGGUUGACGUUACCUGGAGAGGAAGCACCGGCUAAAUACGUGCCAGCAGCCGCGGUAAUACGUAUGGUGCAAACGUUGUUCGGAAUCACUGGGUUUAAAGAGCACGUAGGCGGUUGAGAAAGUCUGAUGUGAAAUCCCUCGGCUUAACCGAGGAAUUGCAUUGGAAACUUCUUAGCUAGAGUGUAGGAGGGGAGAGUGGAAUUCCUGGUGGAGCGGUGAAAUGCGUAGAUAUCAGGAGGAACGCCGGAGGCGAAAGCGACUCUCUGGCCUGCUACUGACGCUGAGGUGCGAAAGCUAGGGGAGCGAACGGGAUUAGAUACCCCGGUAGUCCUAGCCCUAAACGAUGGGCACUAAGUAGAGGGAAGGGCGAAUUCUGCAGAUAUCCAUCACACUGGCGGCCGCUCGAGCAUGCAUCUAGA
rnacentral:rRNA from 1 species